AGAUUGAACGCUGGCGGCAGGCCUAACACAUGCAAGUCGAGCGGUAGAGAGGUGCUUGCAUCUCUUGAGAGCGGCGGACGGGUGAGUAAUGCCUAGGAAUCUGCCUAGUGGGUGGGGGAUAACGUUCGGAAACGGACGCUAAUACCGCAUACGUCCUACGGGAGAAAGGCGGGGGACCUUCGGGCCUCGCGCCAUUAGAUGAGCCUAGGUCGGAUUAGCUAGUUGGUGAGGUAAUGGCUCACCAAGGCGACGAUCCGUAACUGG
rnacentral:rRNA from 1 species